rnacentral:rRNA from 1 species
CAUACGGCUCAGUAACGCGUAGUCAACCUAACCUAUGGACGGGAAUAACCUCGGGAAACUGAGAAUAAUGCCCGAUAGAACAUUAUGCCUGGAAUGGUUUAUGUUCCAAAUGAUUUAUCGCCGUAGGAUGGGACUGCGGCCUAUCAGUUUGUUGGUGAGGUAAUGGCCCACCAAGACUAUUACAGGUACGGGCUCUGAGAGGAGUAGCCCGGAGAUGGGUACUGAGACACGGACCCAGGCCCUAUGGGGCGCAGCAGGCGAGAAAACUUUGCAAUGUGCGAAAGCACGACAAGGUUAAUCCGAGUGGUUUCUGCUAAAGAAACCUUUUGUCAGUCCUAGAAACACUGAUGAAUAAGGGGUGGGCAAGUUCUGGUGUCAGCU